AUUGAACGCUGGCGGCAGGCCUAACACAUGCAAGUCGAGCGGAGCGGCGGACGGGUGAGUAAGGCCUAGGAAUCAGCCUGGUAGUGGGGGAUAACGUCCGGCAACGGGCGCUAAUACAGCACACUAUAAGUUGAGCCUAGGUCGGAUUAGCUAGUUGGUGGGGUAAAGGCCUACCAAGGCGACGAUCCGUAACUGGUCUGAGAGGAUGAUCAGUCACACUGGAACUGAGACACGGUCCAGACUCCUACGGGAGGCAGCAGUGGGGAAUAUUGGACAAUGGGCGAAAGCCUGAUCCAGCCAUGCCGCGUGUGUGAAGAAGGUCUUCGGAUUGUAAAGCACUUUAAGUUGGGAGGCGUUACCCGCAGAAGAAGCACCGGCUAACUCCGUGCCAGCAGCCGCGGUAAUUC
rnacentral:rRNA from 1 species